rnacentral:rRNA from 1 species
GAACGGCGGCUAAUACCGGAUGAGCCGAAAGGUAAAAGAUUUAUCGCCCUUCGAGGAGCUCGCGUCCGAUUAGCUAGUUGGUGAGGUAAAAGCUCACCAAGGCAGCGAUCGGUAGCUGGUCUGAGAGGAUGAGCAGCCACACUGGGACUGAGACACGGCCCAGACUCCUACGGGAGGCAGCAGUGGGGAAUUUUCCGCAAUGGGCGCAAGCCUGACGGAGCAAUACCGCGUGAGGGAGGAAGGUUCUUGGGUUGUAAACCUCUUUUCUCAGGGAAGAAGUUCUGACGGUACCUGAGGAAUAAGCAUCGGCUAACUCCGUGCCAGCAGCCGCGGUAAUACGGAGGAUGCAAGCGUUAUCCGGAAUUAUUGGGCGUAAAGCGUCCGCAGGUGGCAUUUCCAGUCUGCUGUCAAAGACCAAGGCUCAACCUUGGGCAGGCAGUGGAAACUGAAAAGCUAGAGUGCGGUAGGGGUAGGGGGAAUUCCCAGUGUAGCGGUGAAAUGCGUAGAGAUUGGGAAGAACACCGGUGGCGAAAGCGCCCUACUAGGCCGCAACUGACACUCACGGUACGAAAGCUAUGGUAGCGAAUGGGAUUACAUACCCCC